rnacentral:rRNA from 1 species
UACGUAGGGGGCUAGCGUUGCUCGGAAUCACUGGGCGUAAAGGGUGCGUAGGCGGGUUCUUAAGUCAGAGGUGAAAUCCUGGAGCUCAACUCCAGAACUGCCUUUGAUACUGAGAGUCUUGAGUACGGGAGAGGUGAGUGGAACUGCGAGUGUAGAGGUGAAAUGCGUAGAUAUUCGCAAGAACACCAGUGGCGAAGGCGGCUCACUGGCCCGUUACUGACGCUGAGGCACGAAAGCUAGGGGAGCAAACAGG